rnacentral:rRNA from 1 species
UAAACGACUCUCGGCAACGGAUAUCUCGCGUCUCGCAUCGAUGAAGAACGUAGCGAAAUGCGAUACUUGGUGUGAAUUGCAGAAUCCCGUGAACCAUCGAGUCUUUGAACGCAAGUUGCGCCCAAAGCCAUUAGGCCGAGGGCACGUCUGCCUGGGCGUC